rnacentral:rRNA from 1 species
UUCGGGGGGACAGGGUGACAGGUGGUGCAUGGUUGUCGUCAGCUCGUGUCGUGAGAUGUUGGGUUAAGUCCCGCAACGAGCGCAACCCUCGACCUUAGUUGCCAGCAUUCAGUUGGGCACUCUAAGGUGACUGCCGGCUAAAAGUCGGAGGAAGGUGGGGAUGACGUCAAAUCAUCAUGCCCCUUAUGACCUGGGCUACACACGUGCUACAAUGGGCGGUACAAAGGGUCGCGAACCCGCGAGGGGGAGCCAAUCCCAAAAAGCCGCUCUCAGUUCGGAUUGCAGGCUGCAACUCGCCUGCAUGAAGCCGGAAUCGCUAGUAAUCGCGGAUCAGCAUGCCGCGGUGAAUACGUUCCCGGGCCUU